UCUACAACUUGAUAUAAAUUAAUUAAAAAUAUAAAAGCCAAGUUGAUGGGUUGCAUAAGUAAUGGGACCCUUUGUCAUAAUAACUGUAAAUAACCAGAUGGGAGAUCGAUCAC